rnacentral:rRNA from 1 species
CCUACGGGCGGCUGCAGUGGGGAAUAUUGGACAAUGGGGGAAACCCUGAUCCAGCAAUGCCGCGUGUGUGAAGAAGGCCUGCGGGUUGUAAAGCACUUUCGGUUGGGAAGAAAAGUUUGGCGCCAAUACCGCCGAACCUUGACGUUACUGACAGAAGAAGCACCGGCUAACUCUGUGCCAGCAGCCGCGGUAAUACAGAGGGUGCAAGCGUUAAUCGGAAUCACUGGGCGUAAAGCGUGUGUAGGCAGCCGAAAGCCCUGGGCUCAACCCAGGAAGUGCACUCGAUACUGCAUGGCUUGAGUACCGGAGAGGUUGGUGGAAUUCUCGGUGUAGAGGUGAAAUUCGUAGAUAUCGAGAGGAACACCGGUGGCGAAGGCGGCCAACUGGACGGAUACUGACGCUGAGACACGAAAGCGUGGGGAGCAAACAGGAUUAGAUACCCCUGUAGUC